rnacentral:rRNA from 1 species
UCGAGCGCCCGCAAGGGGAGCGGCAGACGGGUGAGUAACGCGUGGGGAUGUACCCAAAGGUACGGAACAACUCCGGGAAACUGGAGCUAAUACCGUAUGUGCCCGAGAGGGGAAAGAUUUAUCGCCUUUGGAUCAACCCGCGUCAGAUUAGCUAGUUGGUAGGGUAAUGGCCUACCAAGGCGACGAUCUGUAGCUGGUCUGAGAGGAUGAUCAGCCACACUGGGACUGAGACACGGCCCAGACUCCUACGGGAGGCAGCAGUGGGGAAUAUUGGACAAUGGGCGCAAGCCUGAUCCAGCCAUGCCGCGUGAGUGAUGACGGCCUUAGGGUUGUAAAGCUCUUUCGACGGGGACGAUAAUGACGGUACCCGUAGAAGAAGCCCCGGCUAACUUCGUGCCAGCAGCCGCGG